GACGAACGCUGGCGGCGUGCUUAACACAUGCAAGUCGAACGGAAAGGCCCUGCUUUUGUGGGGUGCUCGAGUGGCGAACGGGUGAGUAACACGUGAGUAACCUGCCCUUGACUUUGGGAUAACUUCAGGAAACUGGGGCUAAUACCGGAUAGGAGCUCCUGCUGCAUGGUGGGGGUUGGAAAGUUUCGGCGGUUGGGGAUGGACUCGCGGCUUAUCAGCUUGUUGGUGGGGUAGUGGCUUACCAAGGCUUUGACGGGUAGCCGGCCUGAGAGGGUGACCGGCCACAUUGGGACUGAGAUACGGCCCAGACUCCUACGGGAGACAGCAGUGGGGAAUAUUGCACAAUGGGCGGAAGCUUGAUGCAGCAACGCCGCGUGCGGGAUGACGGCCUUCGGGUUGUAAACCGCUUUCGCCUGUGACGAAGCGUGAGUGACGGUAAUGGGUAAAGAAGCACCGGCUAACUACGUG
rnacentral:rRNA from 1 species